AGAUACAGGACAAAUAUUAAGUUUCUGCAUAGCAAUCAUCACGGUUGUCCUGCUGACUGAAAGUGUUGUGGAAACACUUGAUUCCCCAGAAACAAGUGUAGAUUUACAGUUUAGCAACAUAAAUGUGCACCUGCAUCAAAGAAGAAAAACAAUCACGGUUCUUCUAAUCUCAAUGAAAAUCGAUGGCGUUUUUGAUACCAGUCUCAACAACCCAAAUAAUGAGAAGUUCAAAAUCCUUGCCAGAAAAAUUGAGUCAGC